AUGACGAAUGAGGGAGGAUGGAGGAGGAGGGAGGAGGGGGUAGGCCGGACGUGCGGGGAAGGAGAGGAGGCGGCAGAGGCGAGCGGGGGGAAGGGGGCGGCGGCAUGGGGGAGGAUAGGAGCGAGCGGGGAGGAGAAUGAGGCGGAGUGGGCACGAAAAGGGUUGGCGGCUAGGGUUUCUACGCGCGUGCGCACGCCGUGCGGCCGCCCGCACCCAAAAAACUGGCACCCAGCCAAUCCGAUCCAGCGCGAGGGCCACAAGUCAUUCCCCGGCCAGGAUCUACCGCACGGUGAAAAUGCACAAGUCAAUCCGGAGCGAAGAUCCAACGAGCAGGAACCAAAAAAAGACCACGCUGACCACGAUUGA
rnacentral:rRNA from 1 species